ACUUCCUCCCAGGCCCUCUAGGGGGAUGGUCAGGCUUCUGCAGUGAUGGGGAGGAACCUUUCCUGACUGCUUCAGCUGCCAUAACAAAAUAUCACAGACUGGGUGGAUUAAACAACAGAAAUUUAUUUCUCACAGUUCUGGAGGCUGGGAAGUCCAAGAUAAGGUGCCAGCAAGGUGAAGACACUGACAAUAAGAAAAGGCAAACCACAGGUCCAAGACAAAGUGGUCAAGUCAAGAAGGAACUCAGGCUGUGUAGUCCUGGUGCAAGGCUCCUUGCCCCCAGCGUGGGGUCACACUGGCUGGCUGUGCUCCCACGACACUUAGUGCAUACUGGGCUCCUGACUUAAUAACACAUGUCUGAAAUGGCCCCUGAUCCCCAAUCUGCUGCAGGAUUCGGCAGAUGCACAAAAGGCCGCAGUGGAAGGUCUUGGAGAGAAUUCAGAGUGGCUUGCUUACGUUCCCAUGACCGUGUGUCCUAAUGGGAGAAUCACCACUUUGGAAAAUUCUUUUGGAGGCCAGGCGCGGUGGCUCACGCCUGUAAUCUCAGCACUUUGGGAGGCCGAGGCAGGCAGAUCACCUGAGGUCAGAAGUUCGAGACCAGCCUGGGCAACAUAGUGAAACCCCAUCUCUACUAAAAAUACAAAACUUAGCCUGGCAUGGUGGUGCACACCUGUAGUCCCAGCUACCCGGGAGGCUGAGGCAAGAGAAUCGCUUGAACCUGGGAGGCAGAGGUUGCAGUGAGCCAAGAUUGCACCCCUGCACUCCAGUCUGGGCAACAGAGCAAGACUCUGUCUUAAAAAAAAAAUUCUUUUGAGGCUAGCUGUGAAUGAGCUCAGAGGGAAAGGCAGGAGCCUUCAGGUAGGGAGCAGCAUGAUUCCACACCGAUUCAGGCCUCCUGGGUGUACAGAGGGCAGGAGGAUCCUCCCCAGGUAUGUGAGAGGAAGGGAAGACAAGGUGUUUGGGUCAGAGAACACACUAGAAAUCCAGGUGCUCACUGAUGGAUGGUGCUUGGCAUCUCUGUGUUCUGCCAAUCCAGCCUCAAAGCAACUUUGGAAGAGGAUUUAUGCCCUUCACACGCUUCCAGCCUGGGCCAGAGCAUCUGCACACUCUCCUGGGUAUAGGCCUCCAGGGCUUGGAGCAAAGGAAGAGCUAAGAAUUGUCAGUGCUCAGGAGGCAGGUUUUCAGGGAGGAUCCUCUUGCAUCUCAGCACAUGGGAAGGGCUAAGAGAGCCUGGAGUGUCCUGUCCCAGUGCUGGGGUCUCAGAAGGCAGCUUUGGGGCAUCUCCACCGUGGUCUGACUCCUGCUGCUUGAAACCAUUCUCCCUCAGGGCACAGGCAAGGGUCCUCAAGGAAGAGCACCUGGGCACCUGGGUUGACUCUUCCUCUUUCCUCUACUGGUUCACCUGGAGUCAUGCUCUGACUUAAUCCCCCUCUGCAUUUCUUUCUCUUCUCAGAGGCCUGGACUUAGCCUUGACUCAGCCUUCCUCAGUGUCUGGGACUUGGUAAACAGUCACCAUCUUCUGCACUGGAAGCAGCAGUGACAUUGAGGGUUCUAACCAUAUCUCUUGGUACCUACAGUGCCCAGGAACUGGCCCCACACUCCUGAUUUAUUAUGUCCAUUCUCAACCCUUAGGGGUCCCAGCUUGAUUUUCAGUCUCUAGGUCUGGCAACACGGCCUUCCUGGCCAUCUUUGGCCUGUAGCCUGAAGAUGGGCCUGACAGUCACUGUUUGUUCUGGGACAGCCAUAGCAUUUUUACCCACAUGUGCUCCAAGUCCACGGGGAACAGAGACCAAAUCUGCCAUGAGUGACCAGUGUCACGGGGCUUCACACCAGUCAGGCAGUCAGAUGGUGGUGUUUGCUUUCAUUUCUGCUCAUCAUCCCAAGGGUGUGGACGCUUCAGGAAUGGGACCCUAUGCAACUCUCAUUGCUCUUUAUAAUGAUGUGGGAAAGAGAAACCAUCUCCCAGGGGACUUGGCUUUGCAAAAAUGAAAAUAAAAGCUCCCUCCUCCCUCUGUGCAGUGAAUGGCCUCUGAAUGCAGACUUGGUCUCCCUCUUCAUUGGCAAGGUUGGAGGAAGAACAAGAGCUUCUUAUUGCACUGAGACAACUCAGGGGCCACCUCAUUUGAAGAUGUGCAUCAGUGUGAGCCCAGUCCUACUACAGGGUUGUUUUCAAUUUAUAUCCAAUGUUUCUCUGGCCUGGAACUGAGACCUACCUCCCAAGCAGCGACCCAUGGACUGGGGUCCCUGGGGCAAACAGGUGGCCCUUAGCCUGGAGAACCUGGGCCAGCAGG